GGUUUCAUAGUGUAGGUGGUUAUCACACCAGACUUUGAAUCUGGUGACCCGAGUUCGAAUCUCGGUGAGACCU